CCCCUCAGGCCCUCAGACUGCAUGCCAGCAGCCUCUCCAUCUCUCUGCUUCCCUCUCCCCUUGUUUCCACUCACUCAUACUUUGUUUGCCACAUUCUGUCCAGAUUCUCCAUCACGUCCCGGAAUGCAAUGAGUAAGAGACGGCCCUGGAUGUGAGCCCCAUCGCCAUGGUGACUGGGACCAUCGAUUUCUAGUGUCAUCUUCCCCUCAUGCUGAAGCUUCACGAGGACAGGGCCCUGGCCUGGCUCCUUCCCUCUGUAGCCCUAGAGCCCAGAACAGAGCUUCGCUCAUGGAGCAGACACCAAAAAUACGGGUGGAAAAUAAGAGCAACCCCUGCAGCUGUCCCCCUCCCACCCCAAAACCAGCAAAGCCGGUGACAGAGGAGCCUGCUUUUCAUGCAGACACAGACAGACAGACUGACGGAGCAGCUGGCAGACCGGGAGACGGUGAGAAACAGGUUCCGAAAGCUUUCUGGCUGCCGGUACUUAACACCCAGAGCUAUUCUCAAUGCUAGUCACAGACAUCUUGAACCGCAUUAGAAUAAACAGAAUUCUGAAUUAUCUCCUCAGCAGUACAUGAAAUAACUGUCUGUCACCCAAAAGGAGAAGCAGAGGAUGAUGAAUUUCUAAGAUGUUGGAUUUCUAAUGGAGGUUUGCCUGGAUAUGACUGCCAAUAGGGCUGGCCAUUUGGCUUGUACUCGACAUCAUUGACGUGAGCACUGAGAUACAAGGGGGCAGUGAUCCGUCCCCCCGAGUGUGUUCCUGCACUCAUGGAGAAAGCUAUCAGAAGAACCCAGAGCAGGUAGAGGAAAUGUCUUCCUCCCCUACAACUCACUGCCUUCGUUCAAGGUACUGAGCUCCUGCCACAUGCUGGGGACUGCGUGUGGAGGAGGAUGCUCAAACCACGCAGAAGAGCGACACAUGGCUCCUGCCUUCUUGGAGUUCAAGGUCUGCGGGACAGAAGGCCGUCAAGACCAGGGGCUCUCAUACCACAUGCUGCAGGAUUGUGCCCAGGGCACUCCGCCCCCUGGGAGGGCAGAGGGGCAGUGACUCCUGUCAGGCUCUGUGGAGAGUUCCCUCCUCAUGUUUCCUUUUGUGACAGCCACUAACCAUCCACAGUCACACCUACCUAUAAAGAAGGACCGAUCUCUCCAGUCUGUGGGUGGCCCUGUGGGGUGACAUUGCCAGUUGCAUCUGUCGCGGGGCUGUCUAGAUGAUGUUUGUCAGGCACCUUGUGAUGCCCAGAGAUCAGCCACUACAGGGUUCAUGCUCCCACUUUCAAGCUGCUGGGAAAAAAGAAUGUCACGUGAGUCCCUCUGACCUGUCCUCUCAGAAUCGUCAGCUCUUCCAGUGAGAACACUCAUUCCUCGUGUUCUCUGAACAGCACAGCCAAGGACUCGAGUCACCAUUUCCAAACAGGAACAAGAAGAAUGCAAAUUCCUUAGCUUAAAAAUAUAUACAAAGCAGCCGAUUCCGUGUGAGCAGGGACCCGUGGUUUUCAUUGGUUGUCCGUGCUUGGAGAAGGAUCGCUGUGUCCAAGUUGAAAAAGAAUUCCUGCGGCUUUGAUAUUUGGAGCAAGUGUCCAAAGCCUGGUGUGUCUGCCUGGGUUUCCUCUGCACACCGCAGCUGGAGUCCACAUUAAAGGCCCUCUCCUGUUUGCUAUGAAAGAUGUUUAAUUGAAAGGCGCUUCCUCCCGCUUUGGGGAGCCUCAUUUCUCAGCACCAGGUUUACACGUGAAUUCUGGGAUGACUGGUCAACAAGGGAGAUGGCGUGGAAUUAGCGCAGAUGGAAGAAGAGUUUGGGAACUUGCUGGAAGAGGCCACGAGAGUCUCUGUAUCACCUUCAAUCAGGGCUAAGGCUUCGUGACACAUUCACACGGACAUGUGAUCGGGGUGGCAUUCACUAGUGGUGACACAUGCCAGCUCCUUGCCCAGCACUUCAGCUCAUCUCCCUACCACCUAGCCCCUCACUGCCAACAGUCUGAUUCCGUGGCCUUCUUCCUCUUCCAGGAACAUGGUAACUCUCUCCCUCCAGUUAGCCUCAGGACAUUUGUACGUACUGCUCCCACUGCCUGGAAGGCUCUUCCUUGGCUCUUUGCCCGUUUGGUCCCCUCCUAUUCUUGCCUCUCCGUAAACGUCAUCUCCUCAGAGUGCUCCCCUGACCAUCAGAUUUGAAGUAGCCCUCCUCACCCUGCCUGAAAGUCCCACCAAUUCCCUUCACAGUACGACCAGAGCCAUUGCUAUCCUGUGCAUUUGUGUGUUUACGUGUUGACUAGCCAUUCCCUCCUCUGGGAUGUUCACUCCCUGAGGGCGAGGCCACUUGUCUUAUUCACCACUGUGCCCUGUGGCGCCUGCUGAACGAAUGCAUGGACGAGUGAACCCUUCCAGAUCCAGGGUUCGAGGGGCUCUAAAUUAAAAUUCAAAAAGAAUACAAAUUACGCAUACACAAUGAGUUAGGAAAGGGGUUCAUUUAAAUUCUAAAAAGUUGAUAUAUCUCAAAAUCACAAAAUCUAUAAAAUUAAUGAAUAUGUUUAUUCAUUAGUUA